AUUCUGGCAAAUGGCCUCUGUACCAGUGCUGAGAACUGUCGCUUAGAUUGUCCUGACGACACUCUUUCGUACAUGAGUUUUGCAGUUGAAAAUGGAAAAUUUGUCUCCAAAAAGUACACUGUCUAUGCGAACUUCUCUAAGCCCGUCGUUUUCGAAAACAAUCCAACUUUGAAGCCAAGAUGCGUAAGUGGUAACUUUGACGACCUCAGGUGCAUUGCUAUUCCAGGUACCAAUUAUGCACAACAACGGUGUGUUAGCCUUACAUGUAACCAAUUUCACGGUCCCCACUUCCAGCGCCCAACCCCAGAAACCGUUCUAACUGUUGAGUUCCUGCGGAACCAGGAGAAUGUCAUGGCCGACGUCAUCCGUCCAGAAUUUUACGUUGAUUCCCCCGGCUACAGUUUCGACUUCUCCCGCUGCGCCAUAAUCAAUGACGCUCAUGUACUCAUGCGACUGACAAGUUUCAAACCUCAAAAGAGCGUACGUAGGGUCAAGUUCACCUUGCAGGAGUCUGACGCAAUCAUAAAGCACCUUGCCAACUGCUCACGCAACACAACUUGCUCCAUGAACUGCACCAAAGAGUUUUACCAGCAUACAUCUACAGGAUUUUAUGAC